GACACUGUGGCCGAGUGGUUAAGGCGAUUGACUAGAAAUCAAUUACAGUUUCUGUGCGCAGGUUCAAAUCCUGCCGGUGUCG